rnacentral:sRNA from 1 species
UUGAUAAUAAUUAAUAAAAAAAUUGUUGAGAUAAAGAAGAUGAACCCAAGAACAAAGAAUUAUUGAGAACGGACAUUGCUGCUGAAGAAGUGUUGAUCUUGUUUUUGUACCAAGUUUGGAGCCAAAACAAGCAUUGCUCGUGUAAGUAAUGAAGUUCUUUUAAGAAGUUUUUUGUUAUGUCAUAUUAGGAUCUUGAUUGUGUUCGAACUCCAUUUUUUUAUCAGAAAAUUUGCAAAAUCUAUAUUUGUUUGUUUAAAAUAGUCAAAUGAUAAUUGGUAUUUAGGUUUAUAAAUGUGUAGUAUCGACAUUCCAUUUGUUUUUUAUAUGUAUAGUAUUUUUCAGUUGCAUUUAAUGUGUGUCUCCUGAAUUUAUGAUGCAGGUGGGUUAUGGAUAUUCCCGUAUUUACUAUGGUCGGUGAGUGGAAAUGCAAAGAAGGAGAAUGGAAAUUUGAACCUAAGGAAGGCAUCUUUGGUCGUUGUGUACGCGUUCAGGAAACCAUGACGUACACGGACUUUGUCCGUACACUCCGAGAGGCUUUCAGUUUGAAGUCCACCGAGAUCAAUCCCAUAAUUAGCUACUGGAUGCUGGGAGAAAUGUCAGUGCUGAUAGAUACUAAACACCCUCCUGUAUACAUUGACAGUCAGAUGGGUCUCGAAACGUUUUUUUUUGGUUCGUGGUGGGUAUCUUUCUCUCAACUUGUUCGUCUCUUUCAAUAAUACAGUGAAGGCGUUCGGGAAUACUGUCUCUAGGUCUCAUGGUGAAGUUUCUGAAAGUGACCGUGUGUUUGAUAGUGCUACAAAUGUUGAUGAAAAUAAUGAGGAUGCAGAGGAGCAAGCCGAUGUUGAAGACGAUACAACAGAAGAGGAUGAAGUGGAGGAGGGCAACGAAGAUGAUGAUGGGUGUGAUGAUUAUCUUGGUGUGGAUGGAUCUAUUGGGGGAAGUACCCUGUAUCCUACCACAGACGGUAGUGAAGGUAUUGGCGAAAAAUACGAUUACAACAAGUGGAACGAUGUAAUAGUAGAAGAAUAUGUACAAGGAAAUCUUGAGGAAGACGUCAGUCUCACUCAACAGACUGCUCAACAUCCAGGGGAAUUCAGUCGUUUAUUGGAAACGUGUACGUACACGGGUGUUAGUGUACCUGGCGGAGAUACAGGGGAAUUCAGUCGUCUCUUGGAAACGUGUACGUACACUGGUCUUAAUGUACCUGACAAAGAAACAAUUUCUCCAUUGGGUUACGGUACACGCUGCGAAGGGCAAAGGGAUUCCAAUCUUAUUUGUAUAGACGAAGUCACCGGGGAUGAAGUGAUCGACGGUAUUGGAGCUUCCUCAACUGGGACACUGAAUGAUAAUGGUGUAGUUACCGCAGCUGAGGCUUACCAAGUGUAUAAUGAAUUUCCUAAGUUACAUGGUGGCGAGUUGGCGAAUCUCGGUAACGAUGCUGCUCCUGUGUUCGAUGACUUACUCAAUUUUUGAGCUGAUGAGACACAGGUUGAAAUCAGCACCACAGGCGAAACUUUGUUUGUUGGAAGUGUUUUUAAGAAUAGAAAAGUCUUGCAACAAACAAUGUCUCUUCAAGCGAUAAAGCAAUGCUUUUGCUUCAAGCAACCUCAGUCAUGUCCUAAAACAUUGAAGAUGGUGUGCGUUGAUGAGACUUGUCCAUGGCAAUUGACUGCUCGCGUCGUGAAGGAUUCAGAAAGUUUCAAAAUCACUUCGUAUGCUACGACACAUACGUGUAACAUCGACUCUCGGAAGAACUACAAUAAACAUGCUAAUUAUAAGUUCCUCGGGGAAGUUGUGAGGAGCAGAUACAGUUCUACGCAGGGUGGGCCGCGAGCUGUCGAUUUACCACAGCUGCUCCUAAAUGAUCUGAAUGUGCGGAUUUCAUAUUCUACCGCUUGGAGAGCAAAAGAGGUUGCAGUGGAAAAUGUAAGGGGGGAUGAGAUAGCAAAUUACAGGUUUUUGCCGACCUAUCUGUAUCUUCUCCAAUUAGCUAAUCCGGGUACAAUAACACACCUACACUAUACACCAGAAGAUGAUGGUAAACAGCGCUUCAAGUAUGUCUUUGUCUCUCUUGGCGCUUCUAUCAAAGGUCUGAUAUAUAUGAGGAAGGUAGUUGUGGUAGAUGGAACGCAGCUAGUCGGACCUUACAAAGGAUGUCUCCUUAUUGUAUGUGCCCAAGAUGGGAACUUCCAAAUAUUCCCAAUAGCUUUUGGUGUUGUUGAUGGUGAGACCGAUGCUUCUUGGGCAUGGUUUUUUGAAAAGUUAGCUGAGAUUGUUCAAGACAGUGACGAUUUAUUGAUUGUCUCGGACAGACAUUCAUCUAUAUACAAAGGCCUAAGUGUUGUUUACCCGAGAGCGCAUCAUGGAGCAUGUGCUGUUCACCUUGAGCGAAACCUCUCCACCUAUUAUGGUAAGUUUGGUGUGUCUGCUUUAUUUUUCAGCGCUGCCAAAGCUUAUAGGGUCAGGGAUUUCGAGAAAUAUUUUGAACUGUUAAGGGAAAAGAGUGCUAAAUGCGAAAAAUACCUAGAGGACAUAGGAUUUGAGCAUUGGACAAGAGCUCACUGUAGAGGAGAACGCUACAAUAUCAUGUCUGGCAACAACUCUGAGUCCAUGAAUCAUGUGUUAACAAAAGCAAAAAAUUAUCCGAUUGUUUACAUGAUCGAGUUCAUUCGGGAUGUCCUAAUGCGAUGGUUCGCAUCGAGGAGGAAGAAAGAUGCUAGGUGAAGAGCUGUAGAAACAAGCCGCCCAUAUAAUCAUACCCAGCAUAUAGAAUACAAUGGCGCAUGCAAGUGUUGCAUUUGCUCGUACUAGAGCAUGACGCUGUAAGAGCCUGAUGGCUCCAUUGAUGUUUCGAUCAUUCGUUAGAACACGAAUACCUUCGUAAUACACGGCCGUGGGAUUAUUAGCUGCAAAACACCGUAAGAAAAAUGGUCGAUGUCGGCCUUCAUCAGCGGAUCCGGAGGGAUUGUGGCCCCCUCCAGCUUGGAAGUCAUCGGGCGAGUUACACAAGGUGAGAAUAUUGGCAUCUUUGAGGACAUCCGGACGGUAGACAAUGUCUCUUCCACGGGUGCCGGAUCGUACCAGUGGACCAAGGUUGGACCAGCAUUGGUCAGCCAGGUUCUUAGCUAUCUUCGAGAGUAAAUCGUCGAGAAGAGUCGGGUUAACCAUGUUUGAUAUGAGAUAGUCAGAGAUCGUCAGUAAUUUCUUCACUUUAAUAACCACUACUGUGAAUUUGGUUGGGGCAAUUACGGUUGAAAUGAAUGUCAUACUUGUGUUGGUAAGCGUUGGCUGUCAAAUCAAUUUAUCACUUGAGUUAUGUUAUAAAGUUAAUAUACAGUGUACGAGACAUAUCGAUAUGUACGUACACAUUUACAUUAUGUAAUUAGAAGUGAACGAUGUGUACGACAAUAUGAUAGAGGACACUAAAUUAACUUCUGACAAUCUCCAAAUUAAAUGUAGUUGCAAUCAUAUAUCUAAGAUAGGUUUGUUCAUAAUAAUUGGUUGCAAAGAACAAGAAUAUUGUUCUUGGACGAUUAAAGCAAGUGCACAGUACCGGCCUCCCGCUUGUCGUGCUCGUAGAUGUCAACCGAGUAUUUCUGACGGUAGAAGACCAUAUCUACUUCUCGAAUGGUUAUCAAUUCCGAAAAAGGGUGUCCAAACGCAAGCAACUCCAAGAACUUCAUCGUGUAUGGCCCGCAAUCUCCUGUAGUUGGGUUUUGAGCAACGGUAGGACAACGCACAUACUCAAAAGGUUCAACUGAGUACGGAGAAAUCAUUACAUCCUAGCACAUCGCUCUGACUAAGUACGACAUCAUUUCGCAAAUAGGAGUCAUUCUCGCCUUCACAGCCGACUCACGCGUGUGCGAUAUUAAAGCGUCAUACACAGUUAUUAGCCGUUCAUUAAGGUUGAUUCCCAAAGCAACCCAAUGUUCACUCUUCCAGUUCAUCGGAGCAUACACAACAUCGACAUCCUUCAGCCACUUCAUAUUGGGUUCACGGUUUAUGUGAACUCCAUUAGCAAUGUCGGACAGUAAUUUACCCCAUUUGAACCCGUUCUUAUUGAUACACUUCUUGAAGUCGCCCACCCGCUUGGUAAGUAGAUGCGUCAGCAUCAUGUCCAAUACAAUACAUCUGUUUGCUAUCAUCUGUUCCCCGUUCUUGUGCCACAUCAACAUUGCCAUCAUUUCUAAAUGCUGAAAUGUUCAAAAAAUAUAUCAGUGUACGUACACUUCCACGAAAAAUUUAAUCAUCUAUGUACAAUUUAUAACAAGGAAUGUACGUAUAUAAAUGCAACAUACCGAACUUUCGACCCAUUCACCAGGUGUUAGAAGGUUCGCAAAAAACUCGUUGGGCACUUUGCGAAACCCGAAAAGAGUGUGAAUCCUGUAAAUCCAGAAAAAUAUUUGAUAACAACCUUAAGACUUGGAAAAAUGAUGAUUGAGAUAUUAAAAUAAUCCAUUUUAAUAUAAUGUACUUACACAGAGGGUCCUUUAAUGAUAUUGCUGAAUUCCUCUACUUUUGAAAGGUCAACCAUGUCCAAGGGGUUGUAUGAGACAUUUCCAGCCCUGAUAACAACCUCUAUCUGUUGAGUUGGUACAUCGGGCACCAAGACUGUUUUUGCCUUAAAACCAUGAGGAUGGGCAUCAUCCUGUUCAUAGACAAGUUGCUUCUUCACUUUUUUUGGGACCUUUGGAGACGUUUUUUUUUCUUCUUUUGCUUCGACAGCAGCAGCAUUGUCUGAUUCAUCCUGUUAACAAAUAUGAUUGUCAACAACAGUUUCAUACGUUUUUCUAUGUUUAAAAUAGGUACAUACAUUAUUUUUAGGAAUAUCGGUCUUGUCUGCUUCAUCUGACCCUGGGUUAGGAUCCUCAGUUCCUACAGACCCCUCAACAAUACCGUGCUCUUCCAUGACUACCUGUGCAAGUUAACGUACACAAGUCUAUAUAAUGUACACAUAUAAUCCUAUGUAUGCUAUUUCGAAAAUAGGAAUUGAAACACACAAAUUGUUACCUCCACAUCAGUAGCUGCAGCCAAAUCACCAACGGCUUUAGUAUCCAACUCCCGUAUGACCUGCAUAAUAUAAAUUUUAUACAUUUGAACAGUAAAUAGUACAUUUUAUUUGUUGCAAGAAUUAGCUUACAUUGUUAACUACUUGAAAUGGUGACGGGGGAUCACUGUGGGUCUUCUCAGGUAUUUCAACUUCCAUCCCUGUCACUAAUUUGGAUUCUCCUGCCGCCUCAACCUGUAGAAUUUAUCAUCGGAAAGAAACUUUUUAGUAAUGUAUGAAACAAUAUAUAUGUACACAGAAUAUAGUGACAAAAAUGUACGUACACUUGUGCCAGGUACGUGAGCUGUAUCUCCAUCAGAAGGCUCAUAAGUGUCUUCUGACUCGCUGCCAUUAGCUUCAGUCGAUGCACUGGCAUCUCUUGCUUCCCU